rnacentral:rRNA from 1 species
UACGUAGGGUGCGAGCGUUAAUCGGAAUUACUGGGCGUAAAGCGUGCGCAGGCGGUUCGCUGUGUCCGAUGUGAAAGCCCCGGGCUCAACCUGGGAAUGGCAUGGGAAACUGGCGGGCUGGAGUGUGGCAGAGGGGGGUGGAAUUCCGCGUGUAGCGGUGAAAUGCGUAGAGAUGUGGAGGAACACCAGUGGCGAAGGCGACUCUUUGGCCUGUAACUGACGCUGAGGCGCGAAAGCGUGGGGAGCAAACAGG